UGAGGAAUAUUGCACAAUGGGCGAAAGCCUGAUGCAGCGACGCCGCGUGGGUGAAGAAGGUUUUCGGAUCGUAAAACCCUUUUCUGUGUGACGAGCAAGGACGGUAGCACAGGAAUAAGUCUCGGCUAACUACGUGCC
rnacentral:rRNA from 1 species